rfam:Beta vulgaris subsp. vulgaris Bvchr7_un.sca020.con0006.1, whole genome shotgun sequence.
AGGGAUGUAACGUAGCGUGGCAGCGCGUUUGUUUUGGGUACAAAAUAUCAUGGGUUCAAAUCCUGUCAUCCCUA